GAAAUGCGAUAAUUAAUGUGAAUUGCAGAAUUCAGUGAAUCAUCGAGUCUUUGAACGCACAUUGCGCCCCCUGGUAUUCCGGGGGGCAUGCCUGUCCGAGCGUCAUUGCUGCCCUCAAGCACGGCUUGUGUGUUGGGCUUCCGUCCCUGGCAACGGGGACGGGCCCAAAAGGCAGUGGCGGCACCAUGUCUGGUCCUCGAGCGUAUGGGGCUUUGUCAGCCGCUCCCGUAGGUCCAGCUGGCAGCUAGCCUCGCAACCAAUCUUUUUAACCAGGUUGACCUCGGAUCAGGUAGGGAUACCCGCUGAACUUAAGC
rnacentral:misc_RNA from 1 species